CCAUGUUCCUCCUCCUUCUUCCUUACAAUUCCUUUCAAAAUGUUCCUCCUUCUUCUUCAUUGUUGUUCUACGAUUCAAACUCUACAAUCGAUCGGUAUGUAUUAAUCAUUUUGAUAUCUGUUAUUUUGAUUGUUAAUUUCAUCUAUCUUUGUUGGUUUAUCCCAUCUUUAUUAUUAAUGUUGUUUAUAUGGUUUUUUCACAUAUAAUCGGCGAUUCCUUUAUUGUUACGAUUCCAAGUGUAAAUCAGAUUUAUAUGUCAUGCCAAUUUUUUGGGGAAAAAUAAUCGAAACCUUGCUGAGUGCGACAUUUAUCAUCAGGUAUGAAACUUCUAUUUAUUUAUGGCUGACCUCCAUAUCUCUCUACCUAUUGACUUGGAUCUGCAUAUUCAAUCAAGAAUCUUUAAAAACAUCUAAGGUAAAACUACAUGAUGAUGGUUAAAUAUUGUUUGUUUAUGUUGUUCGAUCUUCAAUUUAUUCAAGAAAAGUUAAGCUUUUGAUGUUGAAAACCGUUUCGGCAGUUGGUAAUGUUUGUUGUUGUUCUUAUUUUUUGUAGAUCAUUAGACAUAUAGAGAAGGUUUAAAUUUUUUCAUGAAUAAACCUAAAUGUUAUGCCACUGCCGGACUAUCAAUCUUCGUCGAACAUGUUACAGAUAUGGAUCAGAGUAACAACAAUCCUUCAUUUUAAAGCUGAUUGAGAAAUACCUAAUGACUUUGCUUCAAUGAUGUGGGGAGAGCAACCACCUUAAAAAUAAUCUGUUAAGAUUGUUGAUGGCAACAAGUUAUGGUUUGUAAGACGGAAAAAAACUGAUUUGGGCCCUGUACUUGGUGAUGGCUUCACCAAAGUUGUUUGGGACAGUCGUAUAACAAAAAAUGACUAUCUUAUGUUUCAGUCAUAUUUUUUUCAUCACUCUUUAAAUUUCCAGUAACUUUUCAUGUAUUGUACUAUCAUUUCUACGUAUUUUCAUGUUUUCCAUUGAUGAUAAACCUAUGUUAGUUUUAAUUAUUUUUUUAGAAGAUAAAAGUUUUGAUUCUAUAAUUAUAACCGUGUGUUAUGAUGUUUUAUUUUAGCUUUCUGCUGGUGUUUAGAAAAUGCAUAAUGCGUUCAAACAACUAUAUUCAUCUUCUUCUGAACUUCCAAUGAAUGUCGUCGCUAAUGAUUGUUCCUUUGCUUCUUAUUUUGUUUUAUCAUAUAUUAUUUUUUAAAACAUUGAAGAGACUAAUGAAAUUCUUUUUUCCCAAAAUCUUUCAGAUUUCAGAUGUUGGUUCUCUUACAUUAUGAAAGGUAAUUCCUGAAUGACGUCUUGAACGUGUUAAAGUAGAAGUUAAAGAAGAAGUUGCUGCUUAAAGUGUUUAGUAUUAGGGUUUAUAAAUGUUUUUUCUCAGUAUUACAUUUUAUAAAUGUUUACUUCUACAGACGUUCGUAUCAUCGAUUAAUCUACCCUAUUCAUCAUGAAAUUUUCAUUUAUUCAUAUAUAUGUAUAUAUAUUAUUUUAGAAACAUAGAUUAACAACCCGGGAGUAUUCCCGGGUUAUAACCUAGUUAUCUAUAUACUAAUUAUCUAUAUACUAAUUUUAGAAGUUUGUGAACACUAUCGCUUGACAUGUGGCACAUUCUCAUUAGCUCUUUUUUUAUCUUUCCUUUUUUUGUGUAUAAAUAUGAAUUUUUUUUUUGCAUCUAAUCAUAUUUGUGCAGCUGGUAAUUUGGUUAUGUGUUGGUUAUUAUGCUCCACUCACGGAGGUUCGAUCCCUGGUGUUAUUUUUUGUCUUCCCUAUUUUAUUCUUUUAGUACAGACAACAAAUUGAGAGAUGAACAACAGGGAUAACUAAAAAACCUUAAAUCGAAUGAAGAUGAACAACAGGGACAACUAAAGAACCCUAAAUCGAAUGAUGGCUUUCACAGGUGGUGACGUAUCGAGUUCAGGAGCCGAGCGCUACAAAUUUUGGAGCGGAAAAUCCGUUGUGUCCGUCGUCAUUGACCAAUCAUUGGCUCCCUGUUUCUCAAAUCAAAAAGCUCCACCAAAAUCUCCAAAACAUUAUAAUUAUCCCCAAUCGCGGUGUCAUUGUUGAGUUGAAUACGUUAACAACUGAUGCGUUGGUCGGUCACAGAGUUACAGAGGCUGCAGUGGUGAAGAUCAGGUUUACGACGACGUUUGUGGGGGUCAGCUGUGCUCCUGUGGCGAUUUCAGAUGAGACAACUUUGAGCAGAGUUUCGCGUUGUUUCCAGAAAAGAUGGGUACUUGGAUGAGCAGCGGUAGGUUGUUGGAAAGCCAAAAUAAGUCCUGGACGACAAUUGAGGGUUUUGAAGACAAGAACAAGGAACCGCGACAGGAUAUGGCGGUAAUGGCAACAAAGAGGUGUCAAGGGUUUGGUUCUUAGGGCGUUCAAUGGUUGUAGGCGGCUGCAGGAGCCGAGCUAUCAGUGAUUGGCAAUUGAAGACGACGGUUGAUGUGCAUCUCCGACGAAUGGGAGUGAUGGGCCGAAUAUAUUCCAAGGUACACCAAACACCACCUCCUUUGAUCACUGCUGCUCGGCAGCCGAAGAGCGCCUCUGGCGCCAACAAUCAUCACCGCCACAUGUACUCAUUGCCGUGGCCUCGGCAACUUUUUGAUGGGUUUAGGCCGGAAGACAAAUUUUGUAGGUUUUCUUCACAGGGAUUCAGUUCUCAUGUGGCUAACAACACCCCUGCAACCACAGAAAGCAAGAAGUCCUUGAAUUUCAGCUGCCAUAAAGAUGCAUAGAGUUAAGAAGAAGAAGGUUGCUCAAAAAAUAAAGCAAGAGAAACAACUAAACCAGCAUGAUUCUAUGAUCAAAUAUUCUCAUCGACUGCAAGUCGAUUUUGUUGGCUGUGGCACAAAAAGAAGGCCUUACACGCCGUGCCCCAAAUGUAGUCAAUCUAUACCUGAAGUUGCACUGAAUGGUUUUGCUCGCUUAGCGGGCAGCAGGAGAAAGCAAACAUAAUAUUAAGAUCCACCAUCGAAAAGACCAGGUAAAGGCGGGCUGGUGGAGUAAAACUCGAUUUGCUAGAGACGUCCUUCUUGCCCUCCUAAAAGAAUAGGCAAAGGUGGGAUAGUGAUCUAAAACUAGCAUGCUUAUUUAAUCACAGGGUGUUAUUAACAUGAGGAAUACUUGCAACCAUAACUAAAUGAAACUAGCUUGUAAUGUAGUGCAACGCGCGACCACGAAUACCCCUAGUUAUGAUUUAAUUAUGUAUAUUUUUUCUUUCUUUAUAAAAAAGAUCUAAAUUCUAUCUAAA